UUGUUGGGUUUUGGCACUUCAGUGAUCUUUAUAAAUGACUUGGAAAAAGCUUUUUAACUGUACAAGAUUUAUUGCCAAGAUUGGUUGUAUUACCACAAUCUCGCUGCAUAAGCAUAAGUUAGUCCACGGAUAACCCACUAACAGCUAACAUAUACAAUAUCUUUAAUUAACAACCAGUGAAUUACCCCAAUAAUUGUUAACCCAACACAGGCAUGCACUACUAAAGGACAGAUUAAAAAGAAUAAAAGGAACUCGGCAAACCAACACCCCGCCUGUUUACCAAAAACAUCACCUCUAGCAUUUCAAGUAUUAGAGGCACUGCCUGCCCAGUGAAUUAAUUUUAACGGCCGCGGUAUCCUGACCGUGCAAAGGUAGCAUAAUCACUUGUCUCCUAAAUAGAGACUUGUAUGAAUGGCAAAACGAGGGUUUAACUGUCUCUUUUUCUCAAUCAAUGAAAUUGACCUACCCGUGCAGAGGCGGGUAUAACUUUAUAAGACGAGAAGACUCUGUGGAGCUUAAAAUUACAACUUAAAUUAAUUUAUACUAUACUCUAAGGGAUUAAUCUUACAAAACUUUUUAAGCUGAAUUUUUGGUUGGGGUGACCUCGGAGCACAAGCAACCCUCCGAAUGACAUAACUAAGACUAACACAUCUAAGUGCAACCUAAGCCAGUAAUUGACCCAAAACUUGAUCAACGGAACAAGUUACCCCAGGGAUAACAGCGCAAUCCUAUUUAAGAGCCCAUAUCGACAAUUAGGGUUUACGACCUCGAUGUUGGAUCAGGACACCCCAAUGGUGCAGCCGCUAUUAAAGGUUCGUUUGUUCAACGAUUAAAGUCCUACGUGAUCUGAGUUCAGACCGGAGAAAUCCAGGUCGGUUUCUAUCUAUAUAAUAAUUUCUCCUAGUACGAAAGGACAAGAGAAUUAAGGCCAACAUUACAAACAAGCCUUACAACUAACUAAUGAUCUUAUCUCAAUUAGUUAAUGCAAGAUUUUAUUACUCUAGAGAAGAGUUAUUAAGGUGGCAGAGCAGGUAAUUGCAUAAAACUUAAGCCUUUACUAU
rnacentral:ncRNA from 1 species